rnacentral:rRNA from 1 species
UAAGCAUAUCAAUAAGCGGAGGAAAAGAAACCAACAGGGAUUGCCCUAGUAACGGCGAGUGAAGCGGCAACAGCUCAAAUUUGAAAUCUGGCCUUCUGGUCCGAAUUGUAAUUUGUAGAGGAUGACUUUGGUUAGGUACCUUUCGAGUUCCUUGGAACAGGACGCCUUAGAGGGUGAGAGCCCCGUACGAUUGGAUGCCGAGCCUCUGUAAGUCUCCUUCGACGAGUCGAGUAGUUUGGGAAUGCUGCUCUAAAUGGGAGGUAAAUUUCUUCUAAAGCUAAAUACCGGCCAGAGACCGAUAGCGCACAAGUAGAGUGAUCGAAAGAUGAAAAGCACUUUGAAAAGAGGGUUAAAUAGUACGUGAAAUUGUUGAAAGGGAAGGGCUUAUGACCAGACCUUUGCAUUGAGGAUCAUCCGGUGUUCUCACCGGUGCACUUCUCUUUGUUGAGGCCAGCAUCAGUUCUAGUUGGGGGAUAAAGACUUAAGGAAUGUGAUUCCUCCGGGAAUGUUAUAGCCUUUUGUGUAAUACCCUGACCGGGACUGAGGACCGCGCUUCGGCUAGGAUGCUGGCAUAAUGGUCAUCAGCCACCCGUCUUGAAACACGGACCAAGGAGUCGAACAUUUAUGCGAGUGUUUGGGUGUUAAACCCUCACGCGUAAUGAAAGUGAACGGAGGUGAGAGCCCUUACGGGUGCAUCAUCGACCGAUCCUGAUGUCUUCGGAUGGAUUUGAGUAAGAGCAUAACUGUUCGGACCCGAAAGAUGGUGAACUAUGCGUGGAUAGGGUGAAGCCAGAGGAAACUCUGGUGGAGGCUCGCAGCGGUUCUGACGUGCAAAUCGAUCGUCAAAUCUGCGCAUGGGGGCGAAAGACUAAUCGAACCAUCUAGUAGCUGGGUUACCGCCGAAGUU